UACGUAGGGUGCAAGCGUUAAUCGGAAUUACUGGGCGUAAAGCGCACGUAGGCGGGUUCUUAAGUCGGUGGUGAAAUCCUGGAGCUCAACUCCAGAACUGCCUUCGAAACUGGGAAUCUUGAGUCCGGGAGAGGUGAGUGGAACUGCGAGUGUAGAGGUGAAAUUCGUAGAUAUUCGCAAGAACACCAGUGGCGAAGGCGGCUCACUGGCCCGGUACUGACGCUGAGGUGCGAAAGCGUGGGGAGCAAACAGG
rnacentral:rRNA from 1 species